rnacentral:rRNA from 1 species
ACGGCUCAGUAACACGUCGGUAACCUACCCUCGGGAGGGGGAUAACCCCGGGAAACUGGGGCUAAUUCCCCAUAGGCCUGAGGUACUGGAAGGUCCUCAGGCCGAAAGGGACUUAUGUCCGCCCGAGGAUGGGCCGGCGGCCGAUUAGGUAGUUGGUGGGGUAAUGGCCCACCAAGCCGAAGAUCGGUACGGGCUGUGAGAGCAGGAGCCCGGAGAUGGACACUGAGACACGGGUCCAGGCCCUACGGGGCGCAGCAGGCGCGAAACCUCCGCAAUGCGGGAAACCGCGACGGGGGGACCCCGAGUGCCGUGGCAACGCCACGGCUUUUCCGGAGUGUAAAAAGCUCCGGGAAUAAGGGCUGGGCAAGGCCGGUGGCAGCCGCCGCGGUAAUACCGGCGGCCCGAGUGGUGGCCGCUAUUAUUGGGCCUAAAGCGUCCGUAGCCGGGCCCGUAAGUCCCUGGCGAAAUCCCACGGCUCAACCGUGGGGCUUGCUGGGGAUACUGCGGGUCUUGGGACCGGGAGAGGCGGGGGGUACCCCUGGGCUAGGGGUGAAAUCCUAUAAUCCCAGGGGGACCGCCAGUGGCGAAGGCGCCCCGCUGGAACGGGUCCGACGGUGAGGGACGAAGGCCAGGGGAGCAAACCGGAUUAGAUACCCGGGUAGUCCUGGCUGUAAAGGAUGCGGGCUAGGUGUCGGGUGAGCCUCGAGCUCGCCCGGUGCCGUAGGGAAGCCGUUAAGCCCGCCGCCUGGGGAGUACGGCCGCAAGGCUGAAACUUAAAGGAAUUGGCGGGGGAG